rnacentral:rRNA from 1 species
AGAGCGAACGCUGGCGGCAGGCCUAACACAUGCAAGUCGAACGCGCUCCAUUCGGUAGCAAUACUGAUGAAGAGCGAGUGGCGAACGGGUGAGUAGCACGUGAGCAACCUGCCCCGAAGACCGGGACAACACCGGGAAACCGGUGCUAAUACCGGAUAUCCCUAUCGGACCGCAUGAUCUGAUAAGGAAAUGGAUUCCGCUUCGGGAGGGGCUCGCGGCCUAUCAGCUAGUUGGUGAGGUAACGGCCCACCAAGGCAUCGACGGGUAGCUGGUCUGAGAGGACGAUCAGCCACACUGGGACUGAGACACGGCCCAGACUCCUACGGGAGGCAGCAGUGGGGAAUCUUGCGCAAUGGGCGAAAGCCUGACGCAGCAACGCCGCGUGGAGGACGAAGGCUUUCUGAGUUGUAAACUCCUUUCAGCAGGGACGAUAGUGACGGUACCUGCAGAAGAGCACCGGCCAACUACGCGCCAGCAGCCGA